GGGUUUGUAGCUCAGCUGGUUAGAGUACUGCGUUGACAUCGCAGGGGUCGGUGGUUCGAGUCCACUCAAACCCA
rnacentral:tRNA from 1 species